UCCGCCUCCGCCCUCUCCUCCCCUGUGCCGACAACUUCGGCCUCCCCGUCGACGGCGACCGUGGUGGCUCGACGGGUCCUGGGAACCAAGGUUGAACGGAAGAGCUCAUAAAGAGAUCGGAUCCUCUGCUCUACCGAGUGCAUUUACAGUUGUUGGAAAGUAGAAGCAGUUGAACAUCUAAGUAUUAGAGAUUAUUUUGAUAAAUCUGACUCAGCAAAAGUUGCUAUUGUAAGUUUGUAACUUUGGGACAAAGCAAGAAAAUUCAUCUGGAGAUUGCCAAGCAAAAGAAAAAUCAUCUUGAUGUAUGCAAUGCUGUUUUUAUUUUUAUUCAAUAAUAGUCUAAUAGCCAUCACCGGAGGGACAAGAGGUGAAGAUAUUAGGUGUUCAGUUGGUCUGAUGAUCUGGGUCUGUGAUUCUUGGUUGUAGUUCUAUUGGCCUGGCUUCGUUUGUUAGGGACGCAUGGAGUUGGUGCAAGCAACUGGUACUUGAUAUUCUUGGUUGUAUGCAAUGCUGUUCAGCUCUUUGCUAUUGCUCUCUUGUGCCAGAUAUGAACUUAAAUUGUGAUUUGAAGUUGGUGCAGGCAAAUGGUACUUGAUCUAUUUGAUCACAUAACUUUUGUCCCCUUAUAUUGAGGUACCAAACUCUUUUCUCUCCUUAUCUUUUCAUUAAUUUUCUGCCAUCUAUUAUCGCAACUUUUCUGCGAUGCGGACUCUUUGAUUUGUAUUAAUCAAGUUGUAUGAAUCAACUUUUUUGCGAUACAGGCUCUUUUCUGCGAUUUUUGUCAGUGUUUAUAUUCUUGUGAUUGAAAACUGACUAUCUAUUCUCUUCACCAUUUUUACAGUAAGUUACAGAGUGAUGUUUUGAGGGAAGCAAUCUCUCAGAUUGCAAAUGAUUCUCGGGAGAAGAAGCGCAAUUUUACUGAAACCAUUGAGCUACAAAUUGGUCUGAAAAACUAUGACCCCCAAAAAGAUAAGCAUUUCAGUAGAUCUUAUGUUUACGUAAUAUAAUUUUUAAUGGCAAACAUCAUACAAAUAACUUGCCCAAUGCAUUUGAAUUCAGGGCCUGGUUGUUCUUCUAUUGGCUAUGGAGAGGCAGAGGAACUUGGACCUUUCUUAAUACAAAAAGGUGUGCCAGAGCUCAAAUUCAACAAGCAUUCUUGGAAUCGGAGGAAUUGCGACUCAUCACUCGCCUAUAGGCCCUAUACUGACAGAGAAAAUAGGGCUUGACUAUAUGGAUGUUGAAGCACUAAAAAAAUGAACAAAAACAAGAAGCUGGUCAAAAAGCUUGCUAAGAAGUACCAUGCUUUCCUAGCAUCAGAGGCGAUCAUGUAUAUUGACAUUAGUUCUAUAUGAAGCAGAUUUUCUUUUCGGGCUAUUCCAUAUGUAAAUUUGGAUGAUUUGACUUGUAUUCCUUGUCUUUGUAAAGAUUAAAUAUUUUUUGAAUAUUGCUGGUAUUAGAUGAAUGAAUAAAUAACUUGUAUUCCUUAUGUUCAGCUUUUUGUAAAGAUUGAAUGCUUUUUUAAUGUCAAUGAUGUUGGGACAA